rnacentral:rRNA from 1 species
UACGUAGGCAGCGAGCGUUGUUCGGAGUUACUGGGCGUAAAGGGUGCGUAGGCGGUUGUUUAAGUUUGGUGUGAAAUCUCCCGGCUCAACUGGGAGGGUGCGCCGAAUACUGAAUGACUAGAGUGCGGGAGAGGAUAGUGGAAUUCCUGGUGUAGCGGUGAAAUUCGUAGAUAUCGGGAGGAACACCAGUGGCGAAGGCGGCGAUCUGGGAAGAUACUGACGCUGAGGUGCGAAAGCGUGGGGAGCAAACAGG